UGUACUCGAGGAGCCUACCUGCCCGUGCUACGAGGGUUCGGAUUCCACUACCAACACGCGAACUGGCUCAUAAUCAUCACUAUCAGUUCCUGAGUGAUUAGGCGUGCUGUAUAGGAAAACAUUUCGUUGUGUUGAUCAUUCGUGUUAGCGCCCAAGGUAUAUAAACUCGUUAUAGCUCUCACAUAGGUCCGCAGAAUCAGGGAGAGAUAUCCGGCCGAACAGAUCGUCCUCAGUUUCGAGUUGCAGUUCCAGCCUGUGUGAUUGUAGGACGAUUUCACUGUAAACGUCAAAAGAUGAUCCAGCACUCAGUUUUGAGAGGCACCGCAAAUCUAGUUACGCAUACGAAUAAUGGCUACCUUUCGUGAAAGUUUUACAAAAUAAUCUUCGAAUGUUAUGCUUCUAUGUGUCAUUGAUGAUAAUAAAAA